UUUUUGGUUAAGGACAUUCAUGCAAACGAGCACUGCACUCUCCUGCAACAUCCCUUGCAUUAACAUCUGCAUUCUUGUUUGCAAUCAUCCUGGGACCUGCUGAAUAAAGAAUAGUUUCCCAAUUAAUUCAUGAAUCAUUGCUGUAACUUAAGUACUUAGAAUUAUUUAACAAUUGCAAGCCCUAGAGUGCAAGCCUGAAAGUGCAAGUGCAAAUCUGCAGCCAGACCCUUCUCA
ensembl:processed_transcript